rnacentral:rRNA from 1 species
UACAGAGGGGGCAAGCGUUGUUCGGAAUUACUGGGCGUAAAGGGCGCGUAGGCGGCCUUCUAAGUCGAACGUGAAAUCCCCGGGCUCAACCCGGGAACUGCGUCCGAUACUGGAAGGCUUGAAUCCGGGAGAGGGAUGCGAAUUCCAGGUGAGGCGGUGGAAAUGCGUAGAUAUCUGGAAGGAACACCGGUGGCGAAGGCGGCAUCCG